rnacentral:rRNA from 1 species
GACGAACGCUGGCGGCGCGCUUAACACAUGCAAGUCGAGCGAAGCGGCGGACGGGUGAGUAACACGUGAGUAACCUGCCUUAGACAUUGGGAUAGCCUCGGGAAACCGGGAUUAAUACCAAAUGGUCUAAGAUGGACUCGCGACCCAUUAGUUAGUUGGUGAGGUAACGGCCCACCAAGGCGACGAUAGGUGGCCGGCCGGAGAGGGGAAACGGCCACAUUGGAACUGAGGCACGGUCCAAACUCUUCGGGAGACAGCAGUGGGGAAUAUUGCACAAUGGGGUAAACCCUGAUGCAGCCACGCCGCGUGAACGAAGAAGGUAUUCGUAUCGUAAAGUUCUGUCCUAUGGGAAGCAGUACCAUAGAAGAAAGCUCCGGCUAAAUACGUGCCAGCAGCCGCGGUAAUAC